rnacentral:rRNA from 1 species
ACAUGAAGUCGGAAUUGCUAGUAAUCGCGGAUCAGCAUGCCGCGGUGAAUACGUUCCCGGGCCUUGUACACACCGCCCGUCACACCAUGGGAGUCGGUAACACCCGAAGCCGAUAGUCUAACGAAAGAGGACGUCGUCGAAGGUGGGAUUGAUGACUGGGGUGAAGUCGUAACAAGGUACC